GAUGAACGCUGGCGGCGUGCCUAAUACAUGCAAGUCGAGCGAACGGACGAGAAGCUUGCUUCUCUGAUGUUAGCGGCGGACGGGUGAGUAACACGUGGAUAACCUACCUAUAAGACUGGGAUAACUUCGGGAAACCGGAGCUAAUACCGGAUAAUAUUUUGAACCGCAUGGUUCAAAAGUAAAAGACGGUCUUGCUGUCACUUAUAGAUGGAUCCGCGCUGCAUUAGCUAGUUGGUAAGGUAACGGCUUACCAAGGCAACGAUGCAUAGCCGACCUGAGAGGGUGAUCGGCCACACUGGAACUGAGACACGGUCCAGACUCCUACGGGAGGCAGCAGUAGGGAAUCUUCCGCAAUGGGCGAAAGCCUGACGGAGCAACGCCGCGUGAGUGAUGAAGGUCUUCGGAUCGUAAAACUCUGUUAUUAGGGAAGAAUAUAUGUGUAAGUAACUGUGCACAUCUUGACGGUACCUAAUCAGAAAGCCACGGCUAACUACGUGCCAGCAGCCGCGGUAAUACGUAGGUGGCAAGCGUUAUCCGGAAUUAUUGGGCGUAAAGCGCGCGUAGGCGGUUUUUUAAGUCUGAUGUGAAAGCCCACGGCUCAACCGUGGAGGGUCAUUGGAAACUGGAAAACUUGAGUGCAGAAGAGGAAAGUGGAAUUCCAUGUGUAGCGGUGAAAUGCGCAGAGAUAUGGAGGAACACCAGUGGCGAAGGCGACUUUCUGGUCUGUAACUGACGCUGAUGUGCGAAAGCGUGGGGAUCAAACAGGAUUAGAUACCCUGGUAGUCCACGCCGUAAACGAUGAGUGCUAAGUGUUAGGGGGUUUCCGCCCCUUAGUGCUGCAGCUAACGCAUUAAGUACUCCGCCUGGGGAGUACGACCGCAAGGUUGAAACUCAAAGGAAUUGACGGGGACCCGCACAAGCGGUGGAGCAUGUGGUUUAAUUCGAAGCAACGCGAAGAACCUUACCAAAUCUUGACAUCCUUUGACAACUCUAGAGAUAGAGCCUUCCCCUUCGGGGGACAAAGUGACAGGUGGUGCAUGGUUGUCGUCAGCUCGUGUCGUGAGAUGUUGGGUUAAGUCCCGCAACGAGCGCAACCCUUAAGCUUAGUUGCCAUCAUUAAGUUGGGCACUCUAAGUUGACUGCCGGUGACAAACCGGAGGAAGGUGGGGAUGACGUCAAAUCAUCAUGCCCCUUAUGAUUUGGGCUACACACGUGCUACAAUGGACAAUACAAAGGGCAGCGAAACCGCGAGGUCAAGCAAAUCCCAUAAAGUUGUUCUCAGUUCGGAUUGUAGUCUGCAACUCGACUACAUGAAGCUGGAAUCGCUAGUAAUCGUAGAUCAGCAUGCUACGGUGAAUACGUUCCCGGGUCU
rnacentral:rRNA from 1 species